CCUGGGCCCCGGCGUUGGCACAAGCUCCAUCAUUUCAGUGAGGAAGCCAGUGUGCCGCCUGGAGAAGAAGCUGAUGGAGCCAGGAUGGCGGCACAGUGACCAGUGGAUGGAGAGUUGAAAAGCAAUAUAAAGGAUCAUUCGACUGACUGCCACGGAUGGAGGCUUAUCGAAAACCCCGAAAUUCCCUCUGCCAAACGGUCUGAGUUCCUGCCACGGGUCUGAAUUGAGUCUUCCUAUGAAAAUACACUUUAAAACUCAGCGACCCCCACCUCGAACGAAUGCCUUCAGUGACAGGAAAUGUUAACCAUUUUAAGCGAUUUUUAUUUGCAUUUGCUCUGAAGCCGAGGGAGUGGGGGAGAUUGUACAUUUAAUGACUGGUCGCGAACCCGAGAUGGAUGGAGCGAGCGUGGACGUGUGCGUGUUUCUGAGCGGGGGCGAGCAUCCUCGUCCUGAAUUAGCCCCAAACAAGAGUGACGCUGCCUUGAAUGCCCACAGAAGCAAGACAGGGUUUGCACGUUGCUGCUGGGCCGUCUUUCAAAUUCUCUCGCGUUGUUGAU
rnacentral:lncRNA from 1 species